UACGUAGGGGGCAAGCGUUGUCCGGAUUUACUGGGCGUAAAGCGCGCGUAGGCGGAACGUUAAGUCCGGUCUGAAAGCCCCCGGCUCAACCGGGGAGGGUGGCUGGAAACUGGCGUUCUUGAGGGCGAGAGAGGAGGGUGGAACUCCUGGUGUAGCGGUGGAAUGCGCAGAUAUCAGGAAGAACACCAACGGCGAAGGCAGCUCGCUAGGACGGAACUGACGCUGAGGCGCGAAAGCGUGGGGAGCAAACAGG
rnacentral:rRNA from 1 species